UACGUAGGAGACGAGCGUUGUCCGGAAUUACUGGGCGUAAAGCGCGUGUAGGCGGAUGAGCAAGUCUGCUGUGAAAGCUCCUGGCUUAACCGGGAGUGGUCGGUGGAAACUGCUCGUCUGGAGGACGGUAGAGGUAGGUAGAAUUCCCGGUGUAGUGGUGAAAUGCGUAGAGAUCGGGAGGAACACCAGUGGCGAAGGCGGCUCACUGGCCCGGUACUGACGCUGAGGAGCGAAAGCAUGGGGAGCGAACAGG
rnacentral:rRNA from 1 species